rnacentral:lncRNA from 1 species
GGGUGGUUGAAGUUGCAAGAACAAUGACAAGAAAAAUGCAAAGAAAAACGAAAAGAAAAAUUUAGAAAAAAAAAGGAACAAGAUCAAGAAAGAGAAUCAAAAGAUGAAAAGUUGGAAAAAGAAUGAGAUUUGGUUGCAAUUGCUUGAAGUUUAAGAGAGAAUUAUGUUGACUUGUACUGAUUUGAAUGCUCUCUUAGCUAAAGGUGCUUUGCAUCUAGAAAAACCAAAACUCCUUAGCCCAGCCAAAAAUUCAAGCCUUGAAAGUCCUUGUGAUGAAAACUUGCAGGUUAAUGUAUUCAUUGUGGUUGAAAUGAAAGGCAAAG